UACGUAGGAUGCAAGCGUUGUCCGGAAUUAUUGGGCGUAAAGAGCGCGCAGGCGGUAUGACAAGUCAGAUGUGAAAGAGGCCGGCUUAACCGGCAAGGGUCAUUUGAAACUGUCAGACUAGAGUGCAGCAGAGGAUAGUGGAAUUCCCGGUGUAGUGGUGAAAUGCGUAGAUAUCGGGAGGAACACCAGUGGCGAAGGCGGUUCUCUGGGCAUGUUCUGACGCUGAGGAGCGAAAGUGUGGGGAGCGAACAGG
rnacentral:rRNA from 1 species